UGCGUCUGUUCAGUGGAAGCUCCACACAGAGCAGCUCUUUCUCCUGCAGCACCUGUGAACUGCAGCUGUGAGGACUGGAGGUCGUACAGGUCCAGAGUUCUGGGCUACAAGCUGGUCUCCGUGGACAUGGCAGGCAGCCACACUGCUGAGCCUCUCCUGGGACAUCGUGGAGCAGAGCCUCGUCUUCAGACGCCGCAGAGCCUGAGGCGUCUCUCUGCUUCACAAGAGAACACUGGACCACCAGCUAGAGCCGGACCAGGGUCUGACCAGGGUCUCCACUGGGACCUCCAGCAAGAACCAGGGUCUGACCAGGGUCUCCACUGGGACCUCCAGCAAGAACCAGAUCCUGAUCAGAUAAAUACACACUGCACUUCCGUUGUAACUAGUAAUCUGUAACCUGGGAGAUAAUCUCACUAACUGUGAUUUUAUUCUUUCUUUGUGCAGACGUCGCCUCUUCAGUCACCUGUUCUGCAGCUCUGUGUUUAUUUCUGUUGAUCUCUGCUC